rnacentral:rRNA from 1 species
CGGCGGACGGGUGAGUAACACGUGGAUAACUUACCUAUAAGACUGGGAUAACUUCGGGAAACCGGAGCUAAUACCGGAUAAUAUAUUGAACCGCAUGGUUCAAUAGUGAAAGACGGUUUUGCUGUCACUUAUAGAUGGAUCCGCGCCGCAUUAGCUAGUUGGUAAGGUAACGGCUUACCAAGGCAACGAUGCGUAGCCGACCUGAGAGGGUGAUCGGCCACACUGGAACUGAGACACGGUCCAGACUCCUACGGGAGGCAGCAGGA